AGGAGACAAGUUCAUUUGGUUGAAUAUCGGUUUCCAAAACCGAAGGAGAGGGUUCAACUCCCUCGUUUCCUG
rnacentral:tRNA from 1 species